CCCUAUUAUUAGAAAUAAAAAUCUAUUAGGGAGUAAGGGUGAGUUUCCUGAAAACUGUCUAGAAUGGCGGUUCUUUUUAUUAUCAGAAAAAUGUGUUUUUAAAACGAAAGUGCACGACCAUCUUUCUUACUUUGGAUGUUCAUCCUGUACACCGCCGUCGGAAGGGUUAAUAGAAAGAAUUAGUCCUAAUUUUAUAAUUACAAAAAUAAGUCAGGUUAGGUGCAGACUAUGGGUAAGACAAAAUGCAUUUCACUAAAAUUACAAAAUCUGAGUUGAAAAACUUUUUUUUAGAUGAAUUUGAAAGUAAGUGAAGUUUAAUUAUAACUUCCUGAAGUAAUUCUAAAAGAAUGUACACAUCGCCCG
rnacentral:rRNA from 1 species